AACGAACGCAGGCGGCAGGCCUAACACAUGCAAGUCGAACGCUCCGCAAGGGGAGUGGCAGACGGGUGAGUAACACGUGGGAAUCUUCCUGUCGGUACGGAAUAGCUCAGGGAAACUUGGGGUAAUACCGCAUACGCCCUUCGGGGGAAAGAUUUAUCGCCGAUAGAUGAGCCCGCGUCUGAUUAGCUAGUUGGUGAGGUAAUGGCUCACCAAGGCGACGAUCAGUAGCUGGUUUGAGAGAAUGACCAGCCACACUGGGACUGAGACACGGCCCAGACUCCUACGGGAGGCAGCAGUGGGGAAUCUUGGACAAUGGGCGCAAGCCUGAACCAGCCAUGCCGCGUGAGUGACGAAGGUCUUCGGAUUGUAAAGCUCUUUUGCCAGGGACGAUAAUGACGGUACCUGGAGAAUAAGCCCCGGCUAACUUCGUGCCAGCAGCCGCAGUAA
rnacentral:rRNA from 1 species